rnacentral:rRNA from 1 species
GAUGAACGCUGGCGGCGUGCCUAAUACAUGCAAGUCGAGCGAACAGACGAGGAGCUUGCUCCUCUGACGUUAGCGGCGGAUGGGUGAGUAACACGUGGAUAACCUACCUAUAAGACUGGGAUAACUUCGGGAAACCGGAGCUAAUACCGGAUAAUAUAUUGAACCGCAUGGUUCAAUAGUGAAAGACGGUUUUGCUGUCACUUAUAGAUGGAUCCGCGCCGCAUUAGCUAGUUGGUAAGGUAACGGCUUACCAAGGCAACGAUGCGUAGCCGACCUGAGAGGCUGAUCGGCCACACUGGAACUGAGACACGGUCCAGACUCCUACGGGAGGCAGCAGUAGGGAAUCUUCCGCAAUGGGCGAAAGCCUGACGGAGCAACGCCGCGUGAGUGAUGAAGGUCUUCGGAUCGUAAAACUCUGUUAUUAGGGAAGAACAAAUGUGUAAGUAACUAUGCACGUCUUGACGGUACCUAAUCAGAAAGCCACGGCUAACUACGUG